rnacentral:rRNA from 1 species
GGCGGGACACGUGGUAUCCUGUCUGAAUAUGGGGGGACCAUCCUCCAAGGCUAAAUACUCCUGACUGACCGAUAGUGAACCAGUACCGUGAGGGAAAGGCGAAAAGAACCCCGGCGAGGGGAGUGAAAAAGAACCUGAAACCGUGUACGUACAAGCAGUGGGAGCCUCUUUAUGGGGUGACUGCGUACCUUUUGUAUAAUGGGUCAGCGACUUAUAUUCUGUAGCAAGGUUAACCGUAUAGGGGAGCCGAAGGGAAACCGAGUCUUAACUGGGCGUUAAGUUGCAGGGUAUAGACCCGAAACCCGGUGAUCUAGCCAUGGGCAGGUUGAAGGUUGGGUAACACUAACUGGAGGACCGAACCGACUAAUGUUGAAAAAUUAGCGGAUGACCUGUGGCUGGGGGUGAAAGGCCAAUCAAACCGGGAGAUAGCUGGUUCUCCCCGAAAGCUAUUUAGGUAGCGCCUCGUGAACUCAUCUUCGGGGGUAGAGCACUGUUUCGGCUAGGGGGCCAUCCCGGCUUACCAACCCGAUGCAAACUACGAAUACCGAAGAAUGUUAUCACGGGAGACACACGGCGGGUGCUAACGUCCGUCGUGAAGAGGGAAACAACCCAGACCGCCAGCUAAGGUCCCAAAGUCAUGGUUAAGUGGGAAACGAUGUGGGAAGGCACAGACAGCCAGGAUGUUGGCUUAGAAGCAGCCAUCAUUUAAAGAAAGCGUAAUAGCUCACUGGUCGAGUCGGCCUGCGCGGAAGAUGUAACGGGGCUAAACCAUGCACCGAAGCUGCGGCAGCGACACUAUGUGUUGUUGGGUAGGGGAGCGUUCUGUAAGCCGUUGAAGGUGUGCUGUGAGGCAUGCUGGAGGUAUCAGAAGUGCGAAUGCUGACAUAAGUAACGAUAAAGCGGGUGAAAAGCCCGCUCGCCGGAAGACCAAGGGUUCCUGUCCAACGUUAAUCGGGGCAGGGUGAGUCGACCCCUAAGGCGAGGCCGAAAGGCGUAGUCGAUGGGAAACAGGUUAAUAUUCCUGUACUUGGUGUUACUGCGAAGGGGGGACGGAGAAGGCUAUGUCAGCCGGGCGACGGUUGUCCCGGUUUAAGCAUGUAGGCGGAGGUUCCAGGUAAAUCCGGUAC